GAAUGGGGUUGGGCCUUUUAGGGUGGCCUGUCCCUUUAAGAUGAAUGGGGUUGGGCUUUUGGGGUCGCCUGUCCCUUUAAGAUGAAUGGGGUUGGCCUUUUAGGGUCGCCUGUCCCUUUAAGAUGAAUGGGGUUGGGCUUUUAGGGUGGCCUGUCCCUUUAAGAUGAAUGGGGUUGGGCUUUUAGGGUCGCCUGUCCCUUUAAGACAAAUGGGGUUGGGCCUUUUAGGGUCGCCUGUCCCUUUAAGAUGAAUGGGGUUGGGCCUUUUAGGGUGGCCUGUCCCUUUAAGAUGAAUGGGAUUGGGCUUUUAGGGUCUCCUGUCCCUUUAAGACGAAUGGGGUUUUGCUUUUAGGGUGGCCUGUCCCUUUAAGACAAAUGGGGUUGGGCUUUUGGGGUCGCCUGUCCCUUUAAGAUGAAUGGGGUUGGCCUUUUAGGGUCGCCUGUCCCUUUAAGAUGAAUGGGGUUUUGCUUUUAGGGUCUCCUGUCACUUUAAGAUGAAUGGGGUUGGACCUUUUAGGGUCGCCUGUCCCUUUAAGGGAGCCCCCCCUGUGGGGCCACCAUCUGUGUCCCCCCCCCCCACUGUGACCCCAAAUGUCCCCCCGAAACCCCCCCCAAAUGACCCCAAAUGUCCCCCAAUGUGACCCCAUAGGGUCCCCCCAUCCCAUAUCUGACCCCAUAUGGCCCCAAAUGACCCCAAAUGUCCCCAAUGUGACCCCAAAUGUCCCCAAUGUGACCCCAUAGGGUCCCCACAUCCCAUAUCUGACCCCAUAUGGCCCCAAAUGACCCCAAUAUGACCCCAUAGGGUCCCCCCAUCCCAUAUCUGACCCCAAAUGACCCCAAAUGUCCCCCAAUGUGACCCCAUAGGGUCCCCCCAUCCCAUAUCUGACCCCAAAUGACCCCAAAUGACCCCAAAUGUCCCCAAUGUGACCCCAUAGGGGUCCCCCAUCCCAUAUCUGACCCCAAAUGACCCCAAAUGUGACCCCAAUGUGACCCCAUAGGGUCCCCCAAUCC
ensembl:lncRNA